ACGAACGCUGGCGGCGUGCCUAACACAUGCAAGUCGAGCGAGAAAGCCCGCAAGGGUGAGUAAAGCGGCGCACGGGUGCGUAACACGUGGGUAAUCUUCCUUGGAGCCCGGAAUAACUCCCCGAAAGGGGUGCUAAUGCCGGAUGAGACCACGGGAUCCCCGGAUCCUGAGGGAAAAGGCGGCCUCUGUACACAAGCUGUCACUCCAAGAUGAGCCCGCGGCCCAUCAGCUAGUUGGCGGGGUAAUGGCCCACCAAGGCUACGACGGGUAGCUGGUCUGAGAGGACGAUCAGCCACACUGGAACUGAGACACGGUCCAGACUCCUACGGGAGGCAGCAGUGGGGAAUCUUGCGCAAUGGGCGAAAGCCUGACGCAGCAACGCCGCGUGUGUGAUGAAGGUCUUCGGAUCGUAAAGCACUGUCGGGAGGGACGAAUAAGGCGGCGGCUAAUAUCCGCAGCCGAUGACGGUACCUCCAAAGGAAGCACCGGCUAACUCUGUGCCAGCAGCCGCGGUAAUACAGAGGGUGCAAGCGUUGUUCGGAAUUAUUGGGCGUAAAGCGCGUGUAGGCGGCCUUGCAAGUUGGGUGUGAAAGCCCUCGGCUUAACCGAGGAAGUGCGCCCAAAACUACAGGGCUUGAGUACCGGAGAGGGUGGCGGAAUUCCCGGUGUAGAGGUGAAAUUCGUAGAUAUCGGGAGGAACACCAGUGGCGAAGGCGGCCACCUGGACGGAUACUGACGCUGAGACGCGAAAGCGUGGGUAGCAAACAGGAUUAGAUACCCUGGUAGUCCACGCUGUAAACGAUGAGCGCUAGGUGUUGUGGGUGUUGACCCCCGCAGUGCCGCAGCUAACGCAUUAAGCGCUCCGCCUGGGAAGUACGGCC
rnacentral:rRNA from 1 species